rnacentral:rRNA from 1 species
CCCUUAGACGUUCUGGGCCGCACGCGCGCUACACUGACGAAGGCAACGAGCUUUCCUUUACCGAAAGGUACGGGUAAUCUUUUGAAACUUCGUCGUGCUGGGGAUAGAUCCUUGCAAUUUUUGAUCUUAAACGAGGAAUGCCUAGUAAGCGCAAGUCAUCAACUUGCGUUGAUUACGUCCCUGCCCUUUGUACACACCGCCCGUCGCUACUACCGAUUGAAUGGUUUAGUGAGAUCUUCGGAUUGGCGCCACUGCGGCUCAGCAAUGGGCUCGGUGGAUGCCGAAAAGUUGAUCAAACUUGAUCAUUUAGAGGAAGUAAAAGUCGUAACA